GUCGAGAAUCUUUCACAAUGGGGGCAACCCUGAUGGAGCGACGCCGCGUGGAGGAUAAGGUCUUCGGAUUGUAAACUCCUGUCAUGCGUGAACAAGGUUGCUUGGAUAAUACCUGAGCAAAUUGAUGGUAGCGCAAGAGGAAGAGACGGCUAACUCUGUGCCAGCAGCCGCGGUAAUACAGAGGUCUCAAGCGUUGUUCGGAAUCACUGGGCGUAAAGGGUGCGUAGGUGGCGUGGCAAGUCAGAUGUGAAAGCCCGGGGCUCAACCUCGGAACUGCAUCCGAUACUGCCAUGCUAGAGUACUGGAGGGGUGACUAGAAUUCUCGGUGUAGCAGUGAAAUGCGUAGAUAUCGAGAGGAAUACCAAAGGCGUAGGCAGGUCACUGGACAGUUACUGACACUGAGGCACGAAGGCCAGGGGAGCGAACGGGAUUAGAAACCCUUGUAGUCC
rnacentral:rRNA from 1 species